rnacentral:sRNA from 1 species
GAAAGGCCAGAAGGAGGCUGCAACAUCUAUUACCCCAUUGAUUACCAGUGGUAAUUUUGCUGGUCAGUCUGGCUAGUCAGCUCUCCCAUUGAUCCACUUUGGUCCUUGUGUCCCUCCUGAAGCCAUCUCUGGAGCAGAAUGACCUUUUCAAAUAGAAGUGUACUUUUCUGGGUCAACUGUAUGCAAGUAACUGUGUUCCCUCCAGAUAAACUCUGAUAAAUACUUUCCAAGUGAUUCUUAGAAUUAAACAGAUAGAUCUUGGCCUUCUUCUUU